CAAACCUUCUUUGAGGGCUUGCUAAGAAUGAGAAGCCAUGCUAGGCUCUGUGGAGGGCAGUCCAUGAUGGAUGAAGUGCAGACGUGGAACUCUUGCAGGCUCUAGGCAGAUGAUGGAGACCAGCUGGCCUUUAUCUUAACUUCUAAUCGGAGCAAAGCGGCAGCCUUUCAAAUUGAACAAAUAGGCUCCUCUGCCUGUGACAAGAUGUACCUCAUUUUCUCGGCAAGCCUUCAGCAAGGUUCUGCAAAGGAUUCAUGGCUUCACCUUUGGAUCUUCACCCAGGGGAAGGAUCUUCUAGAAGACUAUCUUCAGCCACGGCUGGGCAAAACAGAAUCCAUUCCACCCCCCACUAGAUGGUGGCUACCUCAUCUGAAUACCAUCCCCAUAUGCUUGUGAUAAAGCUCCCCCUGAAAUAAUGCAAUUUCUCAACAAAGUGUUCUCAGGGGCCACAGGGCACUUGAGAGGCUUGAAUUCCUGCAAUGUCUGGGCUUUAGGGGAAGAUGAUGCUGUGGAAGCUUGGGGUCCCUCUCCUUCGCUGCCUUCCUGGCCCAAGUACCACCACUGAUCACCAAAUGCACUUCAGUGGCCUCUCACCUGGACUUUGAGCUUCCACCUAAGCCCCCUCUGGUCUGCAGACAGGGCAGCAGCCAGAGGGAUACCUUAACAACAUACGUCAGGUCUUGUCACUCCUCUGCUCAAAACCCUUCUAGAGCUCCCCAUACCUCUCCAAAAGCCAGUUCCUCACAAGGGUUCUAAGGCCCAGCAUCAACUGGGCUCCUCCCCACUGCUUCCACUUCAUCUGUUACUCUGCCCUGCGCUCAUUUUAUUCUAGUCAUAAUGGACUUCUUGAUGUCUCCUGAAUGAGCCAGGACUCUCCUUCCUCAAAUACUUUGUAUUUACUGUUCCUUCUUUUCAUAACACUGUUCCUCACUCCUGCAUCUCCAACAGAUCUUUACUUGUGUCACCUUCUCUCUUCUAGACACCCCCUCAGCCCUAAGCCACUACCAUAUAUAUAUUCACACAUACCGCCUGUCCCAUUUCCUGCUUUAUCUUUCUGCUAAGCAUUCACCACCAGCAAACAUAUUAUGUAUUUUUACUUCAUUACCUCAUUUACACCCACCUCUCCCAACUAGGACGUAAGCCCCUCAAAGGCAAGGUAUUUCUGACCAUUUUAUUUAUGGCUGCACCUCUAGCCUUUAGAACUAUGCCCAGCAUGUAGUAAAUGCUCAAUAAAUAUUUGUUAUGUAAAUGAAUGAAGAUCAAAUGAGAAGCCUAAGCAUCGAGUGGGAUAGUCCAGCCUUCAUCCUUCUAAGGAUGGCAUUUCCUGAAAGACAUGUAAAAAUACCAAAUAUCACAACCAGAGAAAUGGUGGGAAGUUUCCUUGGUUCCUGAGAAAACAGAAAGGUCACGUUUGUUCGACAAGUGUUGCUUCACAUUCUAAAGAGACCUCUGUUUUUUAUUCAUGCUCAAAUGGUGUCUUUUUGUCUCCUGGCAUUGCACUGUCAGGUGAGGCAUCCUUAGUGUGUAAGAAACUGUCAUUUGUAAUGGCCUCACGGGGGCCUGGACGUCAGCAACUGCUUGAUAGUUCCAGUAAACAAAUGUCUUUGUGCUGGCAAAAGCAAUGUCAUGGGACUUGUCUUUCCAGUAGCUGAUGAAAUGGCAAUUGCCAUUUCCAAGAUGCAUUUUCUUAGAAGAAAAUCACAACAGAAAUUGAUUAUCACUAGAGAGACCUGAAGUCCUUGCUUUGUGUCCAUGUUGUACAUGGAGAUGAUGGUGAUGGUGAAAAUAGCUUAGAGUUACUGAGUGUGAUUGAACAACCUUUAUGACACCAUAUGAAUUUCAGGAUCAACUGGUGACUUUCUAAGAGGACCUGCUGGACUUUUGCUUGGAAUCGUAUGAAUUUACAGAUUUUUUAAAAAAGAUUUAUUUAUUUAUUUUAGAGAGAGAGAGAGAGAGUGCACACACAGGCAAGGAGGGGCAGAGGUGAGGGAGAGGGAGAGAAUCUCAAGCAGGCUCCCCACUGAGCAUGGAGCUCUGAUGUGGGGCUUGAUCCUAGGACCCCGAGAUCAUGAUCUGAGCCAAAAUCGAGUCAGACACUCAACUGACUGAGCCACCCAGGCACCCUGAAUUUACAGAUUUACUCAAGGAUUAUGGCCAUGUUUGUAAUGUUGAGACAUCCUUCCACAAAUAGUUUGAAUUUAUUUUUAUAGUACUUCAUGAUCUUCCAUAAAGUUUUAUCAUGUUCAUCAUGAAAGCCUUGCACAUUUUGGUAUAUAUUUAAUCCCAGGCACUUCAUAAUGCUUGCUGCUAUUAUAAAUGAGAUUUUUUUUUUCAACUACAUUUUUGAUAGUGUCUCACUAGCAUGUAGGUACGUAACUGCUUCUGGUAUGUUGAUCUUGUACCUAGCAACCUUACCGCACUAUCUUAGACUUUAUAAAUUCUUUUAGAUUUUCUAUGGAGACAAUGAUAUUAAUAAUGCAUAGGAAUAAUGCAAUUUUUAAAAUUUAUGCUUUUAAAAUUCUUUUACUGCUUUAUUUUUCUUAUUUUAUUACACCUUAUACA